AUCUGAAGGCAGCAAAGCAAAGAUAUGAGGAGAUGGGGAGGGAAAGAAAAAAGGAAAAUAGGAAAGAAAGCAAAGGCACAAAGGCAAUUUGGGAUUGUGGAGGGGGAGCGAAUAAAUAGGGACAGAGGACUCACCUAUACCCUGGAGCAAGAAUACAACUAGAACCUGGGACAUGGAAUUAAGACAAAUUAGAUAUUUACCUGGCUAACUGCAGGAUAAUACGGUCUCCUUCUGUGGACAACUCCCAGUACCUCGAAAGAGCUGGAAGAGCUUCUGUUAGCCCUUGCUGAUCCUGCUCUGGGUGCGAUUUCCAAGGUAACAGCUCUCUGGAACCUCUGGCAGCAGCCAUUGACUACUCCCCAGACUCAGCUCAGAAAGAACAGCAAUCUGUUAUUCUCUGCCGGUACUGCCCCAAACAGAGCUUUUAAGCUAAGAGCCCCUUUUUGUUAACACACAUAUAUCUAAAAAGACUCCACAAGAACGAAUGUAAGUUUUUCAUAUAAAUAUGGGGUCUGCACAUAGUGAGUGAGCGAGGGAGAGAGACAAGAAAAAGAGAGAGAUCCAAACCUGACACCAGGGACCUUGACUCCACUCACCAAAAAAUUUAAGGACAGGUAUAAUUCUCUUCACUUUAUUCAUGAGAAAGUGACACUCUCUCUCUCACACACACUCUCUCUUUUCCUAAUGCUCUCAGAGACACCUAUCUUUAGUCAGUCAUCUUUGCUGUAAGUUUCUUUCCUCUAAAUUGUAAUUGGCUAAUCUUCCAAAUUCUGGGGGACCCCUUUGUCAGAGGAAUUCCUGGGGAUAUAGCCUCUAAUUGCUUAAAUUGAGAGUGGCUAAAUUAACAAAGAACUGACUAAAGAUAUGAUUCUUUGUUUAUAGUAGAAAUCUUGCUUUACCAGUAACUACUUUUAGGAAACCCUAUAACAAAAUGUGUAUGCUUGUACAUUCAUGUUCCUGUAUUUUAUUUCUGUUAAUAAGACUUGGAAUUUAUGAACAUCGUGAUCUCUGGUUGUGGCUCAUUGGGAAUUUGGACCUUAGCCUGCGUGCUUGCUACCCUCGACCUUGGAGAUCCCAAAUGUGUAGGCACCAUUUGAACUAAUGUCUCCAAAUCAGUUUCAUUUUUGCACUCUCUCUGAGUGUACAUGUGGCUCCUAGUCACAUGCAAAAUCCCUACACGUAACAACACUAUAUAUAGUAUAAUCUAUUCUCUUUCUAUAUAAAUAGUAUAGUCUAUUCUCUCUCUCUCUCUCUCCAUGUAUAUAUAUUUAUACACACACACACACAAAUAUUAAAUGCCAAGCCAUAAAUAUAAAAGAUACAGGAGAACAGGCUUCUUAUUUUAAGAAUAGCAUAUGUAUAGAUUCAAACAGGAAACUACAUCUCUUAUCUUUCCAUAUCAUACAGGCAAAGAUCUUGUAAAAUGAACAGCAGAAGUUUCCAUUUUUAAUCCAUUUUGGGGAGGAUU